rnacentral:rRNA from 1 species
CUGGUUGAUCCUGCCGGACCCCACUGCUAUCGGGAUAGGACUAAGACAUGCUAGUCGCGUGCUUCAGCCAAAACGAGGCACGGCACACAGCUCAGUAACACGUGGCUAAUCUGCCCUUGGGAUAGGAAUACCCCCGGGAAACUGGGGCUAAUUCCCAAUAGGUGAAGAACUCUGGAAUGAGUCUCCACCAGAAAAGAGCUUACGUUAUGCUCGUAAGUUUCGCCCAAGGAUGAGGCCGCGACCGAUCAGGUUGUUGGCGAGGUAAUGGCUCACCAAGCCUUUUACCGGUGCGGGCCGUGGGAGCGGGAGCCCGGAGAUGGGUACUGAGACAAGGACCCAGGCCCUACGGGGCGCAGCAGUCGCGAAAACUUUGCAAUAAGCGCAAGCUUGACAGGGCUAUCCCGAGUGCCAUCCGCUGAGGAAGGCUUUUACCCAGUCUAGAACGCUGGGGGAAUAAGGAGAGGGCAAGUCUGGUGUCAGCCGCCGCGGUAAUACCAGCUCUCCGAGUGGUGUGGAUGUUUAUUGGGCCUAAAGCAUCCGUAGCUGGCUAAGUUAGUCCCCUGUUAAAUCCACCGAAUUAAUCGUUGGAUCGCGGGGGAUACUGCUUGGCUAGGGGACGAGAGAGGCAGACGGUAUUUUCGGGGUAGGGGUGAAAUCCUAUAAUCCCGGGAAGACCACCAGUGGCGAAGGCUGUCUGCUAGAACGCGCCCGACGGUGAGGGAUGAAAGCUGGGGGAGCGAACCGGAUUAGAUACCCGGGUAGUCCCAGCUGUAAACGAUGCAGACUAGGUGUUUGGACGGCCACGUGCCGUUCUAGUGCCGCAGGGAAGCUGUUAAGUCUGCCGCCUGGGGAGUACGAUCGCAAGAUUGAAACUUAAAGGAAUUGGCGGGGGAGCACCACAAGGGGUGAAGCUUGCGGUUUAAUUGGAUUCAACGCCGGG